AUUAUCGUACUGAAGAAAACAAUUCUAUAUUACCUAUAUUCGUUUCAUUUUCAAAUUUCCAAUUGUUACAAGAAUUGUUAUAGUCAUUUUUGUUGAACUAGGAUGCAAAAAAAAUUAUUCAUACAUUGUAUUGGGUUGUCUCUUAAAUGUCUUUUAACCCCAGAAUGCCUACUCCUUCCUUUUUUGAAAUGACACUUACUGAAGAGCCCUGGCAGUUACGGAAUAUCACAGAUAUUCUGCUCACCUGAUUGUUUCUAAAUGUUAACUUGUGCCUCUACCCCCUCUCCAUUUCCUGUCAGCUGGAGGUCUAGAUGCUUGGUUAGAUUCCAGUCAACAAUUUCUUGGUGAGAUACUGCUGUGUUCUUGGUAUCAUCUUAGGAAGCACAGAAACAUCAGGCCGUCCCAUAAGUGACACUAGGUUUGAUCACUUGAUUAUGGUGGCGGCAGUCAGAUCUGUCAAUUGUGAAGAUUGGUGUUUUCCAAAUUAGGCGUGGUGGCUCACAUCUGCAGUCCCAGCUACUCAGGGGUGCUGAGGUGGGAAGAUCACUUGAGCCUGAGAAGUCGAGGCUGCAGUGAGCUGUGAUCACAUCACUGCACUCCGGCCUGGGGGACAAAGCGAGACGCCCCUCUCUAAAAUAAGUAAAGAUUGAUGUUUUCCUUUUGCAAGUGACCUGUGCAGCAACAUUUGAGUGUUGUGCUAAAAUUCUGUUCCUCAGCAGCCUUUUACCUGAAAGGUUUUGGCAUCCAGUGAUCUUUGCCUGGUCAGUUAUCUCAUUAAUGGGUUAAAAUGUUGGAACCUCUCAUGGCACAUGCUGAGCAGCCAGUAGUCUUCAGGACAAUGGAUUCUCUAGGUAAACUUGUCACCACACUGUUCCAAGUGAGGCUGGAAGACAGUUUGUCAACACCAUAUUUCAGGCUGGAGGUGGAAAGAAGCUGUUGAGGAAACUCCCUUUGCAAGCCCUACUCCCAGCUCCCAGCUGGUGAGACAAUUUACAUGGAAAAACCAUGAAUACAACACAAGAUCUGAAGUGUCUCCACCCUCUAGGCACCUAGGGAAAGCUUGGAUUUGCUUUGGUACACUGUCUAGUUGUACAGGAUCCCUGCAACUAGUAGUCAGACCUGCCUUCCUAACAAACCUGCUGAAAAAGGUAGUAAUAGUUAAUGCAAAGAUGAAAAACACUGGUCUGCCAAAUUAGAAACAACUCCGCAGACCUAACUGGCACUUAUCAUCAUGCACUAUACAUUCAAAUAGGAAAGAACAAAAGAACAUACACAAAAUAUCGGGAACACAUUGUUAACUGUGUCUACAAAGCAGGGUGAGGACAGGGCACGCGGCUCAGGGCCUAUAAUCCCAGUACUUGGCAAGGCCAAGGUGGGAGGAUCGCUUGAGGCCAGGAGUUGGAGACAAGCCUGGGCAACGUGAGACCGUCUCCACAAAAGAAGUUUUAAAAAUUAGCUGGGCAUGGUGGUGAGCUCCUGUAGUUCCAGGGACUUAGGAGGCUGGGGAGGGAGAAUUGCUUGAAGCCAGGAGGUCAAGGCUGCAGUGACCUAUGACGGCACCACUGCAAAAAUAAAGGCAGAUGAAGCUCACAGGUGAAAGUCACUCCACUCUGGGGCUCCAGAAGGCUGAGUCUUAGUCAACAUGACUUUUUUUUUCUUUUCAGAGACAGGGUCUCAUUCUGUCACCCAGUCUGAAGUACAGUGGUACAAUCUUGGCUCACUGCACACCCCGCCUCCCAGGCUCAAGCGAUCCUCCUCCAUCAGCCUCCCGAAUAGCUGGGGCUACAGGCAAGUGCCACCAGGCUCAGCUACUUUUUGUAUUUUUUGUAGAGAUGGGGUUUUGCCAUGUUGCUCAGGCUGGUCUCAAACUCCUGGGCUCAAACGAUCCUCCUGCCUCAGCCUCUCAAAGUGCAAGGCUUAUGGGUGUGAGCCACCACACCCAGUCUUCUACAUGGUUUUUCUGAAAGCUCUGAUUACAUGCUGAAUUUACAAAUGGUGGAAAACAAGGAGUAAUGGUUAAUAAGCUGAAUGGUACAGUACAAAUUACACAAGGAACAAUACAUGAAUUAGAAAUUUAAAAUUUAGUUGAAAUAUAAAAUAAAUUAUUGCCAGAAACACAAAGGGCACAUGAAUACAAUAGGGGAAACAGCUUAAUGGCUUUCUGUUCUCUGAAAACUCAAGGCCCAUCUCUGAGUGAUAAGAGUACCCUAACAGGCAAAGCCCUCUGAGGUCCGGGACCAGGAAGACAGUGCUACUCCACCUACUGGCGGUCUGGCACUAUCUGUAGGCUGGAGUUGGGCUGGGGAUGGUACAUUCAAAAUGGACUUUGGUAAACUAGGGGACAACCCAGACAAACACUGCAGAAAGGAGGAAGGACUCCCUUUCCAGCAUCUCAAAUUCAAGGCUCCAAGUUACUGGGCUUGGGCAAAGUCACACAUUUUCUCAACAAAGGCCAACUGCUGACAAUCCAAAUUUUAAAAACACUGCCAUUAGGCCAGGCGCAGUGGCUCACGCCUGUAAUCCCAGCACUUUGGGAGGCUGAGGCAGGUGGAUCACGAGGUCAGGAGUUCCAGACCAGCCUGGCCAACAUAGUGAAACCCCAUCUCUACUAAAAAUACAAAAAAUUAGCUGAGCGUGGUGGAGGGCGCCUGUAAUCCCAGCUACAGGGGAGGCUGAGACAGGAGAAUCGCUUGCACCUGGAAGGCGGAGGCUGCAGUGAGCCAGGAUCGCGCCACUGCACUCCAGGCCAGAUGACAGUGUGAGGCUUCAUCUCAAAAACGAACAAAAAACCCACUGCCAUUAAAAGCUUUAUUUUAUUUACUUAUUUUUUAGAGACAGGGUCUUGCUAUGUUACCCAGGCUGGCCUUGAACUUCUGGGCUCCAGCCAUCCUCCUGCCUCAGCCUCCUGAGUAGCUGGAACACAGAUGUGCACCACCACCACACGCAGGAAGAGCUUUAUUUUAGAAAGUACUCUUCCUACAUGUGAAGUCUCCAAGAAUAAAGAAAAGAAAGUACUCGUCUUUGGCAAACAGUGGAGAUCUUCUGAACCUUUUUUGAGAUGGAGUUUCACUCAUCGCCCUGGCUGGAGUAGCAAUAGCACAAUCUUGGCUCACUGCAACCUCUGCCUCCCGGGUUCAAGCAAUUCUGCUGCCUUAGCCUCCUGAGUAGCUGGAAUUACAGGUGCCUGCCACCAGGCCCGGCUAAUUUUUUUUUUUUUUUUUAGUAGAGAUGGGGUUUCACCAUGUUGACCAGGUUGGUCUUGAACUACUGACCUCAGGUGAUCCACCUGCCUCAGCCUUCCAAAGUGCUGGGAUUACAGGCAUGAGCCACCGUGCCCGACCGAGUUCUUUUUUUAAUGAAAAGAAUUUGACAUUCCUGCAGUAGAUAUAAGGCAGCAGAAACAGGAACUGUGCAGGCAUGUGUAACAAGAAUGCAGAUGCCAUUUAUU
rnacentral:lncRNA from 1 species